rnacentral:RNase_P_RNA from 1 species
GAGGCGGACCGGCGCAUCGCCGCGUGCCGAUCCCGCGGGGACCGGCGGCGCGGAGGAAAGUCCGGGCUCCGCAAGGGCAUGGCGCCGGGUAAUUCCCGGGCCGCGGCGCAGAAGCGCGUCCGCGGACAGAGAGUGCCACAGAAAACAUACUGCCGGCCGCGGCGCUGAUGCGGCGUGUGCCGGUGAGGGUGAAAAGGUGGGGUAAGAGCCCACCGCGCCGCUGGCGACAGCGGCGGCACGGUAAACCUCGCCAGGAGCAAGGCCAAGCAGCAGGUGGACGGCCCGUCCAGGAGUUCGCUCCAGCCUGCGGGUAGGCUGCACGAGCCGUCCGGAAACGGCCGGCCCAGAUAGAUGAUGCGCACCAAGGGUGGCCUCGUCGCCCGGAGAUGCAGAAUGCCGCAGGCAUUCUGCGGUACUUGGGCGCCGCAGGCGCCCAAGGUCCAGGACCCGGCUUACAGGUCCGCCUCUUUU